UACGUAGGGGGCAAGCGUUGUCCGGAUUUAUUGGGCGUAAAGAGCGUGUAGGCGGUUCAAUAAGUCUGCUGUGAAAGUCCAGGCUCAACCCUGGGAUGCCGGUGGAUACUGUUGAACUCGAGUCCGGAAGAGGCAAGUGGAAUUCCUGGUGUAGCGGUGAAAUGCGUAGAUAUCAGGAGGAACACCGGUGGUGUAGACGGCUUUCUGGACCGUAACUGACGCUGAGACACGAAAGCGUGGGUAGCAAACAGG
rnacentral:rRNA from 1 species